rnacentral:rRNA from 1 species
ACAUGCAAGUCGAGGGGCAGCAUAAUGGAUAGCAAUAUCUAUGGUGGCGACCGGCGCACGGGUGCGUAACGCGUAUGCAACCUACCUUUAACAGGGGGAUAACACUGAGAAAUUGGUACUAAUACCCCAUAAUAUCAUAGAAGGCAUCUUUUAUGGUUGAAAAUUCCGAUGGUUAGAGAUGGGCAUGCGUUGUAUUAGCUAGUUGGUGGGGUAACGGCUCACCAAGGCGACGAUACAUAGGGGGACUGAGAGGUUAACCCCCCACACUGGUACUGAGACACGGACCAGACUCCUACGGGAGGCAGCAGUGAGGAAUAUUGGUCAAUGGACGCAAGUCUGAACCAGCCAUGCCGCGUGCAGGAUGACGGCUCUAUGAGUUGUAAACUGCUUUUGUACGAGGGUAAACGCAGAUACGUGUAUCUGUCUGAAAGUAUCGUACGAAUAAGGAUCGGCUAACUCCGUGCCAGCAGCCGCGGUAAUACGGAGGAUUCAAGCGUUAUCCGGAUUUAUUGGGUUUAAAGGGUGCGUAGGCGGUUUGAUAAGUUAGAGGUGAAAUUUCGGGGCUCAACCCUGAACGUGCCUCUAAUACUGUUGAGCUAGAGAGUAGUUGCGGUAGGCGGAAUGUAUGGUGUAGCGGUGAAAUGCUUAGAGAUCAUACAGAACACCGAUUGCGAAGGCAGCUUACCAA